rnacentral:rRNA from 1 species
CGAGAGUUUGAUCCUGGCGUCAGGAUGAACGCUGGCGGCGUGCUUAACACAUGCAAGUCGAACGGGGAUGCUUAUGGAAGGAGUGCUUGCACUUUGGAAAUGAGUAUCUUAGUGGCGGACGGGUGAGUAACGCGUGGGUAACCUGCCCCAUACCGGGGGAUACCACCUGGAAACAGGUGCUAAUACCGCAUAAGCGCACGGGAGCGCAUGCUCCUGUGUGAAAAACUCCGGUGGUAUGGGAUGGACCCGCGUCUGAUUAGCCAGUUGGCAGGGUAACGGCCUACCAAAGCGACGAUCAGUAGCCGGCCUGAGAGGGUGGACGGCCACAUUGGGACUGAGACACGGCCCAAACUCCUACGGGAGGCAGCAGUGGGGAAUAUUGCACGAAUGGGGGAAACCCUGAUGCAGCGACGCCGCGUGAGUGAAGAAGUAUUUCGGUAUGUAAAGCUCUAUCAGCAGGAACGAGACAAGACGGUACCUGACUAAGAAGCCCCGGCUAACUACGUG